GCCUGGGUGGCUCAGUCGGUUGAGUGUCUGACUUCGGCUCAGGUCAUGAUCUCACGGUCUGUGGGUUUGAGCCCCGCGUCGGGCU
rnacentral:tRNA from 1 species